rnacentral:rRNA from 1 species
UACAGAGGGUGCGAGCGUUAAUCGGAAUUACUGGGCGUAAAGCGUGCGUAGGUGGUGAGUUAAGUCUGUCGUGAAAGCCCCGGGCUCAACCUGGGAAUGGCGAUGGAUACUGGCUCGCUAGAGUGCGGUAGAGGAGAGUGGAAUUCCCGGUGUAGCAGUGAAAUGCGUAGAGAUCGGGAGGAACACCAGUGGCGAAGGCGGCUCACUGGCCCGAUACUGACGCUGAGGCACGAAAGCGUGGGGAGCAAACAGG